rnacentral:rRNA from 1 species
AUACGGGGGGUGCAAGCGUUAUUCGGAUUUAUUGGGCGUAAAGGGCGCGUAGGCGGCUUGGAAAGUCAGAUGUGAAAGCCCGGGGCUCAACCCCGGAAGUGCAUUUGGAACUAUCAGGCUUGAGUAUGGGAGAGGGAAGUGGAAUUCCUGGUGUAGAGGUGAAAUUCGUAGAUAUCAGGAGGAACACCGGUGGCGAAGGCGACUUCCUGGACCAAUACUGACGCUGAGGCGCGAAGGCGUGGGGAGCAAACAGGAUUAGAAACCCGAGUAGUCC